GACGUGGCAGCAGGAUGCGCAGAUCCGCCUCUACGAAGGAGAGAAAGGGAGGUCGGCGAAGGAGGGUCCUACAAGCUCACAGGAGAGACAAGGAGCACCCACUAGGCAAGAUGUCAAUUUCAGGUCUCUCGUUAUAGCAGAGAUGCCCUGGACUGCAGGAUGUCGUCACAUCAAAAACAGACGUCAUGGAAUCAACCUGUUACUUGUUCAAAUAUUUCUCCAGUGAGAGACCUGUUCUCCGAGGAUUCUCAUGUAUGGAAACGCCCAUCUCAGCAGUGCAGUCUCCUUGUUUGUAACCUCUCAUGUUCCAACAUCCAGUGUCACCAUUCUACCUUCCUCUAAAAACAUGGACUGGCAAAUGAAAAUGUAAUGAAAAUAAAGGCAAACAUUUUACAGAAA